AUAUGUAUAUAAUUUACAUAUGUAUAUCAUUUGUUGUUGUUAAAUAAGAGAAACAGGCAGCCUAAAAAGCUCAAACUUUAAUGAAAAAUGCUAGUUGCUGGACUUCUUACAAAUAAAAAAAAUUAUAACAAAGAAUUUUUAAAAAUAAUUUUUAAACAUGUAGAAGUUUUAGACGUCUUUGACAUGUAAUUUAAAUUAUUUAGAAAAGCCCAGCAAUAAAUCAAUAAUAAUACAUAAUAAUAAAUCAAUAAUAAUAAUAACUAAUAAUAAUAAUAAAUCAAUAAUAAAGUCCAAAAGUUAACAACAGAUUUACCCUUUAAAAAAAUAUAGAUUUACCCUACUGAUUCAUGCGAGUGAUCAAUUUGGUGUAACAUAGAUGGUAUGGUGUCGGGUUUUAAGCGAACAGUCUGGCCAGUCUUAUCAAAAUCUGUUUCCACAAAAUGGUACCACAGUGAUCCAUCUGGGUUAGCUCUUUUUAUUGCUAAGGCCCACUUUUUCCUUAAGUCUGAAUCCAUUGGAAACCUGCAAGAAAAGUUCAGUCACUGAGUCAUAAAUGUAUAAAUCUAUAUUACUAUAAUAGCCUAUUCCUAGUAUACUGUAUAUAGGUUUAACACAAUAAAGUUUACAUGUUGACAGUAAAUUAAACGUACAUCAUGCAGCAUGUUGAUAAAAGCCCUGCAGCAUCAUGCAUGUCAACAUGUGUACUAUUAAAAAAAAAGUGUACUAUUAAUGAUGCACCUGCAGCUUUAAAAGAAAAAAAAUUGUAUUUACCUGUCAAAUG
rnacentral:lncRNA from 1 species